UUGCACGGCGCGUGCCAUCAUUUCUAAGUCGCAGUUGAAGAGGUCGGAUGUGUCGUGUAGUUGUGAAAAUUUAAGUUUUAUCGCUGAUGCCAAAGCCGUGCGCGUCUCUCAUCAGAAACACAAAUCAAAGAUAGUGAAGUGCGAAAAUAAUUAAUUUGGAUCGCGAUUCUUACACGUUAUUGGGUGAAUAAUUCUGCAAUAAAUUUGUUUUAGGCUUUCCUUAUGUGCAUAAAUACCCACGCUUGAUAUAUAUACAUGUGUUGGUUUGCUUAGUUAUUCGCACAUUGUGUAUUUUACGGCGAUCUAGUUUUACAUAAUUAACCCUCAAGAUAAAGAUCACGACAAGAUUAAUUUUAAGCUUCGGAAGCAUAACUAUUUGAUACAAAUCGAUUUUAAUUUAAUGUUCCCUGGAAAGGAAAGGCGUAUUAGCUUCAAAAUGGGAAGCGUUUAAGAAGAAAAUACAACAGUACUAUGCGUAUAAUAUCCACAACGUGAAAAUCAAGAAGCUGUUAUGAAUUUCAAGAUUCAGAGACUAUUGACUUUAUUUUGACAAUCCUGCUCCUCUCAAUUUUACCGUCCA